UACGUAGGCAGCGAGCGUUGUUCGGAAUUACUGGGCGUAAAGAGUGUGUAGGCGGUGCUCUAAGUUCGGUGUGAAAUCUCCUGGCUCAACUGGGAGGGUGCGCCGGAAACUGGAGUGCUUGAGCGUGGGAGAGGAAAGCGGAAUUCCUGGUGUAGCGGUGAAAUGCGUAGAUAUCAGGAGGAACACCUGUGGUGUAGACGGUUUUCUGGACCAUAGCUGACGCUGAGACACGAAAGCGUGGGUAGCAAACAGG
rnacentral:rRNA from 1 species